CGGGUGAGUAAUGCCUAGGAAUCUGCCUGGUAGUGGGGACAACGUUUCGAAAGGAACGCUAAUACCGCAUACGUCCUACGGGAGAAAGCAGGGACCUUCGGGCCUUGCGCUAUCAGAUGAGCCUAGGUCGGAUUAGCUAGUUGGUGAGGUAAUGGCUCACCAAGGCGACGAUCCGUAACUGGUCUGAGAGGAUGAUCAGUCACACUGGAACUGAGACACGGUCCAGACUCCUACGGGAGGCAGCAGCU
rnacentral:rRNA from 1 species